rnacentral:rRNA from 1 species
GACUGUUUGCGGGAGCGCACUCUGUGCGUAUCUUGCGGGCAGUCUUUUUCUGGGGAACCGGCAACGGGGAGCCCAGACGUUUACUUUGAAGAAAUUAGAGUGUUUAAAGCAGGCUUAUGCCUGAAUACGUUAGCAUGGAAUAAUAGAAUAGGACUUUGGUUCUAUUUUGUUGGUUUCUAGGACCGAGGUA